CAAAAACAUGUCCUUUUGUUUAUUUAUUUAAGGUCUGACCUGCCCAAUGAGGAAUUCAAUGGCCGCAGUAUCUUAACUGUGCUAAGGUAGCAUAAUCAUUUGUCUUUUAAUUGAGGGCUGGAAUGAAAGGUUGGACGAAAUAUUGACUUUCUUUAAUUUAAUUUUAAGAAUUUAAUUUUUGAGUUAAAAAGCUUAAAUUUACUUGUUGGACGAGAAGACCCUAUAGAUCUUUAUAGUCUUAUAUUUUAAUAAUUUAGUGGUUAUAUUUAUUAUAAGUAAAAGGAUUAUUUUGUUGGGGUGACUGUAGAAUUUAAUAAACUUCUAUUAUAUUUUUCAUUGAUUAGUGUUUUUUUGAUCCAUAUAUUUGUGAUUAAAAGAUUAAGUUACCUUAGGGAUAACAGCGUAAUUUUUUCGGAGAGUUCAUAUUGAUGAAAGAGUUUGCGACCUCGAUGUUGGAUUAAAAUAAGUUAUGG
rnacentral:rRNA from 1 species